rnacentral:ncRNA from 16 species
GGUAGAUGGCGGAACUGGUAGACGCACCACACUCAAAAUGUGGCGAUUCUUUAUCAUGAGGGUUCAAACCCCUCUCUAC